rnacentral:rRNA from 1 species
AAUCAACGCUGGCGGCGUGCCUCAGACAUGCAAGUCGAACGCGAAAUUUCCCUUCGGGGAGAAAGUAGAGUGGCGCACGGGUGAGUAACACGUAGGUAAUCUGCCUUUGGGUGGGGAAGUAACUACAGGGAAACUUGAGCUAAUACCGCAUAAUGCAGCGGCUCGACAUCGAGACAGUUGUUAAAGCGGGGGAGUCGCAAGACCUCGCGCCUAAAGAGGAGCCUGCGGCAGAUUAGGUAGUUGGUGAGGUAAUGGCUCACCAAGCCUGCGAUCUGUAGCCGGCCUGAGAGGGCGGUCGGCCACACUGACACUGACAUACGGGUCAGACUCC